rnacentral:lncRNA from 1 species
AGGUGUUGUGAGGAGUGAAGUCAGGUGUUGUGAGGAGUGGAGUCAGGUGUUGUGUGCAAAGGAGUCAGGUGUUGUUUGGAAUGGAGUCAGGUGUUGAGUGGAGUGGAAUCAGGUGUUGUGAGGAGUGGAGUCAGGUGUUGUGUAGAAUGGAGUCAGGUGUUGUGUGGAGCGGAGUCAGGUGUUGUGUGG